ACAUAUUCCACAACUUGGUGAGGAUUAUUUAUUCUAAAUAAUUUUUUGUCAAAAAGUCGUUUUCGACCCCUAUUGCCUCCAAAUUGACUAGCCCGGAUCUGCGGGCGUUACAAUUAUCUCCCGCUUAGGAUGAUUAUGUCCCGGAAUCAUCAACGAAAUAGGGCUCGUAUAAUGAAUCCAUACGUCAUCUCUUCAUCCUAGGUAAUAAUUAUAACUUCUAUAUUCCUUCAAGUCUAUCUCUCAGACUUAUUGACUGUAAGCAGUACUCGAUCGUGCACAUGCUUUCUAUCUCAGGUUAGACUANUCAUCGUAUGUUGCAACACUUAGACUUAGGUCUCUUAGAGUUAAAUUCUAAAACAGACUAUGCCUUCCUUCAUGUUCUAAUGUGAUAUAAUCACACUUUAACAUUAGGCAUUUCUAGCCACCAACUUCUUUAACAACGAGUGUGAUACUUCUAUUGAUCGCUUUGAUUUCAACCGUUUGGUUUAAGUCGGACGCUACAUCAAACUUGGUUCUCUGAACCACACAACAUACUCAUCGUAGUCGGACUCAAUUUGAUAUGACCACUAGGGUCGGAAUAUCAACAAUCUUCUUAGUCAUUACCGAAACGAUGGUAACAACACACUUGAAUAAAACGAAAUCAAUUACUAGCUUCUUGGUAACCUUGUGACCUUCCCAGAUCCAAGUGUGAUUCAUGUGCUUCCGGUAGUAUAGGCCUCUACUACCAUUCACACCUACUCAUACUUGUCCCAAGUAUUGUCUCGCAGUUUUCCAGGUCAUCAUGCAAGAAAUCACAUAGCAGUUUAACACGUCAGAUAACUAAACGAAGGCUUUAUUAUUAUUUCUUGAAACUAUUACAUAGGUGUUCAAGUUCACCCUAUACUAUGCCUCUAAUAGGUUACACCACAUGGUACUAUCUACAUGACUACUUCAUAACUCGAUCUUUGGAUGUCAAUCCUUCACUCCUGAAUCCUUGCAUUGUCAUCUGCUUCGUCAAGGAUCAUUUGAAAUGCUCUCGCCUUUGGCUUUGGCGGCACAUUUGGCUUUAUAGCCCCUUCUCUCUUUGGGCAAUCUUGCUUGAAGUUCUAUUCCUCAUUACAUUCGUAACACACCCUUUUGUUGAAUUUACACUCGUUCGCAUAAUGCCCAUACUUCCCACACUUGAAACAAGUCACCUCCUCAUCGCAUUUUCCAAAGUGUUUCUUUUUGCACUUCUCACACCAUCUUUCCUCACUCCCUCCUCCUCUAAACUUCCUUGUACUGGACUUGCUUCUCUCAUCGGGCUUCGCAAACCCCUCAAACUUCCUCUUUUAGUCAACCUCGGUCUUGUUGGCGGCUCUUCCCUUGAUCAUCUCCUCAACCGACUUGGCAGCCCAGAUAGCUGCCUCCAAAGUAGGUGCCUGACGUACUGGCACCGCGUACUCCCAUGAGAGUCCUAUUGCAUACUUGUCGAUUUUUGUCAGCUCAUCCGGAACAAGACGUAAGGCGAACUCCAUCUUCUCUGUGAAGUUGUUGGUGUAUUCAUCAAUAGACAUGCUUCCUUUCAUCAAGGUUAGGAAUUGGUUUUCUAGCUCGAGCAGAUUUUGGGCUGAGCAGUACCUACGUUUGAACUGCACCAAAAACUCUGCCCACGUCAGUUGCAGGGGCCCAUUGGGGCUUCGAGUCUUCCCCAGAAUGUUCCACCAACGAACCGCCUCCUCUGAACUGGCGUACCGCAAACGUGGUUUAUAGUUUGCCUCUGCAACCACAUGUCAUGAAAGCUAACUCCAUCUCGGAGAUCCAAUCCAUGACCCCAAUCGGAUCUUCCUUUCCAGUGAAAGUCGAUGGCUUGCAAGUCAGAAAAUCCUUGUACUUGCAUCCAUUCCUCUCAUCUCCAUCACCUUGGUUGUUUUGUCGAACUAUUGGUGGGUUGACUUGACCAACGGUUCCACUAUUGUUCCCCUCCUCAGUCUGCCCUUCGUUCAACUCAGGCUGUUCGAUCUAUAUGGUCGCUUCCUCUCGAUUUUGUUGGAGCAAACGUCUGGUUUCCUCCAUUUGAUGAUCCACCAUCGCCUGGAUCAUCGCUUGCACUCUGGCCAUCGUUAUUGGCUCAGCAGCAGCCACCACAACCGGUAUUUGCUCAAUCACUGAAGGAUGAUCUCGGUUCCCAUUUGCAUUCACGUUUCCGCUACGGGUCCUUGCCAUCUUGAUCUAUACGCCGAAUAAGGUGAAUCUAGAUCUUUAUUUAGGAUUGACAUUUAAAUCAUCCUUAUCACCUCGAAACGUUUAUAUGCUAGUUCUAAUAUCGUAGUUAAAUGCUUAGAAUCCUAAACACAUAAGGUUUCCAAAUCCGGUCGGCAAUAGACCAUAGAUUCGAACAAAUAGCAGCAUAUCAGGCACAAGCAUUUAGCACAUAAAAGCAUUUUAGGCACAAUCCCUAAAAUAAUCUAGUGCUCACACCUCACAAUCAUUGCUUAUCAUUCUAAGUUUAAGUCUAGAAAUAAAUCCAUAUUCCUAGUUCGCUUAAACUAAUGCUCUGAUACUAACUGUGACAUCCCCAUUUUCACGGCCAGAAAAGACCGAUUUUGUUUAUACUUUAUAAAAAUCAGAGUAUCUCUUUUAAUAAAAAUGUUGCGGAAUUUGUUCCCAGAAAAACAUGAUAAUCGCGUUAUCAAAGCAUUUCUAAAGAAAUAUAUUUUUAUUCACUUUUAAAACAUUUGGGAUGUCAUCGUCAAUACAGAAACAUAAGCAUAAACAGAACUUACAUUCAUUUUACACUAGUGAUCUACAUCUCUUUUAAAUCUCUGAGUGUAAUGUCACUUCAUAUCGACACCUGUGAUAUAAAUAAACUGAGCGGGUCAGGUUUGGAAACCUAGUGAGUACAUAGGGUUUUCAACCCAGAAUAAUAUAAUUAUUAUGUUAAACAAUCAAACAAUCAACCUAAUUACCCAUCCCCAUUAUCUUCUUUAUUCUUAAUGAUCUACCCUAAGAAUCAACUAUUUCUUGUUCAUUCAUUCCUAAAGAUUUUCCUAAGGAAUAGGUACGAAGUCCAUCGUUGUAAAUGACACAUCUGUCAAGCACAACUGCUAGUUCUGUCACUUAGGCACGACUGCCAAAAUUGUGACAUCCUCUAUGGGGCGCAUCUGCCGGAAUAGUCCGUUUAGGCGCAUCUGCCGGGGUUAUGAGGUUCUCUAUUAGGCGCUUCUGCCGGUAGAGUCCUUUAGGCGCAUCUGCCAGGGUUUUAUUAACAGUAUCGUUUUCGAGAGUCCAGUCGCAAUACAUAUCAAUGGUUUUUUAGAGUACACCUGGUGAAUACAUAGUUCAAAACACCUACGGGUUGCGAGCCUGCUAGUGUCCACUGGACUGUCUAGAAUAGUCCGUGGUUGUCAUCCAUACUCUGCUGGAUGACGUGGCCAUCACUUGGGUAAAAGGAUUCUCUCAUGGUUCACCUCUCACCCUUACCUCAUGGUCUAUAUCACCUCUUCAUCAUUUUAUUUUUUUGUCACACAGAAACUAUUUCAUCUACCCAUGUUUUACCCAACACAUUUUGUAGAUAUAAAAUACAUAUACUGUUUAAAUCAUUUAAAACGUGUAUAAAAUCGUUCAUCCAACAUAAAUAGCAAGUAUAUAGAUAAUAUGCACACACAACACGUAUAAAAUACUUCAUAUAUAUGUAUAAGCUGAAAGUAACUAUGCACUCACCUGAUUAGGCGGUGACUCGUCACUCAGACAGCACUUCGUUACUCUUAAAACAAUUUCCUCGACAAAACCUAGUUUCAAUAUAACUAGGGUUUAGUCUGACGUUAACCACGGCUAAUUAAUAGUCCAACUAUUAUUAUUAUAAUAUAAGCGUUAAAUAAUACUCAAUAUAACUCAUAAUAAUAGCCCAAAUAAUUGUUUUAAGGUCCUAAUAAUGUUACUAUAAUUAAUUAGAAGCUAUAUUAAAAAUAGCGUAGGCGUAGCUCACUUAUAGCGAGUUUUUCGCAAAAACCGGGCUUCGCUGGAGCAGCGUUCUCGAGCCGAAAGUCUCUUCUUCUCAGAGCCGUCGGGCGCUCCAGGGCUUCUGCCUCGUGCUAGGGAGGUUCCCUAGCUUUUCGGGGGGUUUCGGGGGCUAGAGAGAGGUUCUAGAGAGAGAGGAAGAAGUAGGAAGGUGUGAGAAUGAAUAGAGGUCUCACCACUUCUUUAUACGGGUUGGAGGAAGGUUCAUGUUCUUGAAUCUCUUGAUGUUCACGUCGUGAGUGAGCUUGGGCUCCAANAGAAAGCCUUGGCCCAUAUUUAGCCACGUCACCCCUUUUGCAGCAGCACCCUGCCGACUUCUAAAUCCUGUAACUUUCGCAUACGAGCUCCAUUUUUGACGUUCUUUUUUUCCACGUGUAGGUAAAAUCAAGAUCCACAACUUUCAUUUAGACUCCGUAGGCUAAUUCUCAACCGAUCUUAAAUUUAAUAGUAGGAGGCGUUUAGACUGUUAAAUGACUGCGAAGAAUUCGUAACUCCUUGAUACGGACUCCGUUUUCGUCUAUCUUUUUCUGUUGAGUUCCUAUUAAUGAGAUCUUCAACUCUCAUUUAGGUCACGUAAGCCAAAAACCGCUCAAACUAAAAUUCGAGUUUCGGGUCGUGCACUGUUAAGCCAAAUCUUAAAAAAAUCAUAACUUCC
rnacentral:lncRNA from 1 species